GAGAUAGAUGCAGAUAGAUGCGCGUGGUGGUCAGAUCGCUGGUCAUGUUAACAAACCUCCUCCUCAUAAAGAUGGGGAUGAUAAG
rnacentral:lncRNA from 1 species